CCUACGGGAGGCAGCAGUGGGGAAUAUUGGGCAAUGGGCGCAAGCCUGACCCAGCAACGCCGCGUGAAGGAAGAAGGCUCUCGGGUUGUAAACUUCUUUUGUCAGGGACGAAACAAAUGACGGUACCUGACGAAUAAGCCACGGCUAACUACGUGCCAGCAGCCGCGGUAAUACGUAGGUGGCAAGCGUUCUCCGGAUUUACUGGGUGUAAAGGGCGUGUAGGCGGGAGAGCAAGUCAGAUGUGAGAUUCCAGGGCUCAACCCUGGAACUGUAUUUGAGACUGUUUUUCUUGUGUGUGGGAGAGGCAGGCGGAAAUUGGUGGGUAGCGGUGAGAUGCGUAGAGAUACGGGGGAAAACCAGUGGCGAAGGCGGCCUGCGGGACAUUAACUGACGCUGAGGCGCGAAAGCGUGGGGAGCAAACAGGAUUAGAUACCCCAGUAGUC
rnacentral:rRNA from 1 species